ACAGCAGCAGGCAACAGCACAUAUCAGUGAACCAACACCAUUCAACCAUGCGAACUGAUCCAGUGUAAUAGACAGAUUGCUACAGGUAGCAAUUGCAUACUAGUAACAGGCAGAACCACAUAGCCAACCCCAAUCCUCACUAGCAAAAGCACAACUCUGCAGCAGUUUUAUUUUCAGUUCAUCAUGGCAGGAACAAACCCAAGCACCAACCACCAUUUAUUACAUCACGGACAAGC
rnacentral:lncRNA from 1 species